UAGGGAAUCUUCGGCAAUGGACGAAAGUCUGACCGAGCAACGCCGCGUGAGUGAAGAAGGUUUUCGGAUCGUAAAACUCUGUUGUUAGAGAAGAACAAGGACGUUAGUAACUGAACGUCCCCUGACGGUAUCUAACCAGAAAGCCACGGCUAACUACGUGCCAGCAGCCGCGGUAAUACGUAGGUGGCAAGCGUUGUCCGGAUUUAUUGGGCGUAAAGCGAGCGCAGGCGGUUUCUUAAGUCUGAUGUGAAAGCCCCCGGCUCAACCGGGGAGGGUCAUUGGAACCUGGGAGACUUGAGUGCGGAAGAGGAGAGUGGAAUUCCAUGUGUAGCGGUGAAUUGCGUAGAUAUAUGAGGAACACCAGUGGCGAAGGCGGCUCUCUGGUCUGUAACUGACGCUGAGGCUCGAAAGCGUGGGGAGCAAACAGG
rnacentral:rRNA from 1 species